UCCUGGUUAACCCAGGCAGUCUCACUAGAGUUCCCACCUUCACGUGUUGGCAACUAAUGAUAAGGGUUGCGCUCGUUGCUGGACUUAACCAAACACCUCACGGCACGAGCUGACGACAGCCAUGCAGCACCUGUGCAGCGGCUCCGAAGAGAGACGGCAUUUCUGCCGUUGUCCACUGCAUGUCAAGCCUGGGUAAGGUUCUUCGCGUUGCAUCGAAUUAAACCACAUGCUCCACUGCUUGUGCGGGUCCCCGUCAAUUCUUUUGAGUUUCACCCUUGCGAGCGUACUCCCCAGGCGGUAUACUUAUCGCGUUAGCUACGGCACAACCGGGGUUGAGUCCAGUUACACCAAGUAUACAUCGUUUACGGUAAGGACUAC
rnacentral:misc_RNA from 1 species